GUGGAGGAUUUUAGUUGUAUCUUGGAGUCAUUUUUCUGAAUUUUUGUAUACGAAGGAUGGGAAUACGCCUUAGGACAGUAUCCAACGCGCUUCUGAAUUUGAUCAUUUUUAUUUAUUAUUAUUCUAUAAAUCUUUUAUAAUUUUUUUAUAAUAAAUUUUUAUUUAUAUAAACAUACAUAUACAUAAACACACACAUAUAUAUAUAUAUACAUAU
rnacentral:lncRNA from 1 species